rnacentral:lncRNA from 1 species
AUACCCUGCUAAUUUUUGUAUUUUUAGUUGAGACGGGAUUUCACUAUGUUGGCCAGUCUAGUCUCAAGCUUCUGGUUUGAAGUGAUCCAUCUUCCUCAGCCUCCCAAAGUGCUGGGAGUACAGGGUGUAAACCAUGUCGUUCGUGGAACCAGUGGGAAGAUGUUGGCAACCAAAGGUUGAAAGCCUUGCAAAACCAUCAUGCAAACAUGGAGUUGCCGUAAGCAAGAGAGCAAGAAAUCAGUUAACAUUUUAAACAAAAUUGGAACAAAAGUAAAAGUUGAAAAUAUAAUAAUGACGGGUACUAUUAAAGAGAGCAAGGCAGACAAUGGACAUAGCUUUCAUAUUCCCAUGGAAGUUCCUAGAGAUUCAAUUUUGUCUGCCUGGGUGAUGAUAUUAUUAAUAUUUUCUUCGACUAAACCAGACUGAUUGAUCUCAAAAACAGCAUUCUUCUUUUAGAUAUAAACAUGUUCCUCUUUACCCGGCUGGGAGAAGAUCCCAGGCUCCUUGGUUUUGUCGGACUACAGUGGCCAUGGAGUCCAGAUGUUGUUGAAGUCUAUUGAGGCCCUCUGCUGCCUGUUGGGGACACACUGAGAUUUUCUGAGAUAGUUUAUACUGGAUUCCCAAGGAUCCACCUUAUGGUGACAUUUGUGCUGCAAAGGAAUUCUGCAUUGAAAUGGUGAAAGCAGCAAAAGUUUUAAGUCUUUUCUAUUUUUUGCCAAUAAGCAAAAGUUUUCUGCAGCUACGUGGUCAGCAGUCAUUGGGUCCAUUUAUGGAUGGUGAAGUUGAAUGGUGGUCAAAGUUAGAGCCUGGAAGGCUUCAGUAAAUGCGCUGAAGUUCUUUGGGAGCCAUCAGAGCUGUUGCUUGCAUUGGAUUAGAUCAUUUAUUGAGAAGAGAACAAGCACUCUGAUGGUCCUCUCUCCAUUUGGGACUUUCUGUAAGGGGAUCAAAUUCUCUGGCCCUGCAUGGGGUGAAGUUCCACCGCGAGUAACUACAGCUGGGCUGGUCACUAUUAUACCUGGCAAAGGCUGAUAGAGAGGAGCAUAAGGAGGAGGUGAAACAAGCUUAGAUUCUACAGAAGACUCUGAUAGUGUGGGGAUGCUGCGGAUUCUACAGGAGGUGUAGGCCCCUGAGGGUCCCUAUCUGGAGCUGGUGUUGGCCUGUUGGGUCUGGGGUCCCUUCCCAUUAAUAAGAGAUGAUCUUCUAAUGCUUCUGAGGGGCUUUGUGGCUUACUAGGCUUUAGCCCACAGGUGCUGCAUAGAGCUGGGUUUUGUUGUCAGGCCAUAAAGGUUUGCACAUAGGAUAUUUCAGACCAUUUUCCCUGAUUUCUACAGAAAAGAUCUAGCUGUAGGAGGGUGUUAAAGUUCACAGUCUCAUUCCCCAGCCAUGUUUUGUGAGCUAAUCUGUAUGCAAGCUAAAUAGUAUUACAAAAGAAGAUAAGUUUUUUCUUUUCUUUUUUUUUUUUUUGGUUCAUCUAGCCAAAAGCUGUUUCAAUUUUUAAAUAUACAUCCCAGGGGUGUUUCAAUGACAGUAGAGGAAGCGGCUCCCACGGUGCCGACAGAAUCUUGCAACGUCAGAAUAUGUACUAAAGUCCAGGAGGCCAUGGGCAUCACAAUGGGACAAGUGGAACCACCAAGGUGUCCAGCACAGCCCCGCGAGACCCCAUUAACUGAAGCUCUAGGAGGUCAUAGGCAUGUGCCAUACACCAUCCUAUCUCUCACCAGCGCUGCACAUCUCCAGCCCUGCCGAGAUGACCCCCACUGCUGGCUGGGGGGCAGAUGUCUGGCUGACAAGCCUUUCCCUAAUUUACUGGUUUGCAAUUUAUGAUGCCGAAUUAUAACACCUGCAAUGCUCAGAUUCAAACCCCACGACCGGGCAUCUACAUGACUUUGAGUCGUUUGUUCAGCAAAGAAAACCUGUUGAAGAACAAUUUCAAGGAGGUGGGAAAUGCAUAAAGCCUGAAGGGACAGGGUUCUCUUAAUAUUCCACUCAAAACAAAACAAGACAAAACUGUAAACAGAAAACCCGAUCAGAAAAUAAAGUACAAUAGCCACUAGGUGGCGAUCGAGUAUUGCC